ensembl:lncRNA RPL34-DT RPL34 divergent transcript
CUCUCCGACGUGGGCAGAGAUGCAGGGAACCACCACGUUGUACGGCAACCAACGUGCCGCCCCUCUGUGGGCGGGGAUUCACACUAGCUGUCUGUGUCAAGGCCACGCAGAAAUCUAUUGGAAAUCGCUGUGGAAACAAACGCAAAUGAAAAGCCGCAAAGAGCAAAGGCUGCUCACUGGCCCGUCUCCUCUCAUGACUGCUGCUCUGGGAACCACCUCUCUGCUCUCCAUCGCUACCACUCUAGCCUGUGGCCUGCUCCUGGUUGAAGAAGCCAUCAAUGAAAAUGAAUACCACUCUGGAAAUCUUGGGUGGUCUGACCUGAUAUUUUCGCAUAGUGGCCACAGAUAUUUUAGGCCCCCAAGAGGUAGUCUUACUCUUUCAAUUUUACUGGCUCCACUGUUUGAGGAACUUGGAACAAUUUCCCCAGGGACUGGUCUGGAGGUACUGUUGAAUAACACCACGGUGUUUUUUUUCCUCUCCACCAAGGGCCCGUUGAUGUCUCAAGACCAGACAUAAAACUUUUGGUGCUCAAGUCACUCAGAAUGAGAGUCCUGCUUUCCCUCAGCACUCUUGCCCUUUGAGGGUGGGGCCAAAUGUUUUCUUCCUUUCUUACUGAGGACUUUUGAUCCUGGUUUUUGAUAUUUGUCAUUCCCAGGGGGAAUUUUGUACCCUGUGUCUUGGUAAAGUGUAAGACCACUGUGGAUUUUGGGGUUAAGUCUCAUUUCCCUAUCCCUCCCUUCAAGAGAAGAAAGAAAGAGAGAAUACCCAAACCCUGCAUCGUCUCUCACUCGCCUGUCCAGAGCCUAUGGAACAGCCAUUGGGGCAGCUGUCACAAGCUGUUCACACAGCUUUUCUGAUAUACUGACAGUCUCAUGAGGAAGUGCAUAUAACUCCCUGCAAUGGUUUGAAUGUGUCCUCCGAAGUUUAUGUGCUGGAAACUUAAUACUCAAUACAACAGUGUUGACAGGUGGGACCUUUAAGAGGUGAUUAGAUCACAAGGGCUCCGUCCUUAUGAAUGGAUUAAGGUUAUUGAGAGAGUGGGACGCUUAUGCAAGCAAGUUUAGCCUCCUUCCUGUGUGCUCUCUCUCUCUUUCUCUCUAAAAAAGAAUGGGAGUUAUUAGAUGCUUUUUUUCAAAAAGAACCCUGGCUCCUUAUACUAUCUCUACAAUUUCUUUACAUCCUAUUCUAACUCCUCACAUUCCAUUCCUUCUUAAUCUUACUUAACCUUACUAUAGUUUUCAUUUUCACCAAGAUUUAUAGUGACUCCAGCUAGUCAAAAACGAUGGUUAACAUUCUUUAUGAUUUCAUCUUACUGACCAAUUGGCAUGUGGUUAACCACUCUUCCACUCUUAAAACACCCUUGGCUUCCCUGAGACCAUGUUCUUUGGAUUUUUUCCCAUACCAUUGGCUUUUGUUUCACUCCUUUGGGUUUUCUUUCUUUGCUCAACUCCUAAAUUUUUGAGUACUCUAUAGGCUUGAUUUUGGUUUCUCUGUUUGUUUUCUGUCUUUAUCCUCAUUCUAGGCAAUCUCAUAACCACCAGAAUUAUGACAAUUUCCAAAUGUAUUUCACUAGCCCCACUAAGAUCCAAACUUACAUAUCCAACCUCCUCCUUAAUAUGAAAUUUGAUAGCUAAUAAUCAUUUGAAACCAGAAUUCUUGAUUCCUCUCUCAAAUCUGUUCUUGUCUUUAUCAUUUCAGUAAAUGACAUAUCUACUUAGUUGUUCAAGCUAAAAACCUAGAAGUCAUUCUUGAUUCCUUCCUUUCUGUCACCCCUGUGUCCAUCCAUCAGCAAAUCUAGUCAGCUCACCCUCCAAAAUCAAUCUCAAAUCUGAUUAUCUCUUUUAUUCUCUAUCUUUACUCUCUUAGUCCAAAUAAUUGGCUGCAGUAACUAUCUAACUGGUCUCCAUGCUUCUAUGUUUGCCCCCUUACAACCCAUCCUCUACAUAGCAUUCAGGGUGAUUUUUUAAGGAAAAUGUAACUCAGCGCAUGUCUAUUCUCUAUCAUUUAAAUUAAACAAAAUUCGACUUCUUCA